UGUGUCGUCAGUGAGUGUGUAUGUGUGGUCAGUGAGUGUGUGUCGGUCAGUGAGUGUGUGUCGGUCAGUGAGUGUGUGUCGGUCAGUGAGUGUGUAGGUCAGUGAGUGUGUAUGUGUCGGUCAGUGAGUGUGUGUCGGUCAGUGAGUGUGUGUCGGUCAGUGAGUGUGUGUCAGUCAGUGUGUAUGUGUCGGUCAGUGGAGUCGUGCAUCUUUCAGUGAGUGCUUGCGUC